UUCUUAUCCAGAGAGGUGGAGGGACUGGCCCUUUGAAGCCUCAGCAACAGACAGAUGUACUGUGCUAAUUCCAGAAGCAAUACGCUUGAAGAUAAGAA
rnacentral:ncRNA from 2 species